rnacentral:rRNA from 1 species
UCCGUAGGGGGCAAGCGUGGUCCGGAUUUAUUGGGCGUAAAGGGCACGCAGGCGGUCGUUCAAGUUUCGAGUGACAGGUGGUGGCUUAACUGCCACAGGCCUCGGAAAACUGGACGACUUGAGACCUCCAGAGGGACGCGGAAUUCCAGGUGGAGCGGUGAAAUGCGUAGAGAUCUGGAAGAACACCAAAGGCGAAGGCAGCGUCCUGGGGAGGUUCUGACGCUCAUGUGCGAAAGCCAGGGGAGCGAACGGG